UGAGCAAGAGAAAUUAAGCUUUACGCCAACAAUGAUCUGAAGUGGGACCAUCAGAACCAAGGGGGUCUAAGAUGGUUGAGGUGGAAGAAAUGGAGACAUUGACAUCUCAGCACUAAUCGGGUUUGUUCUCGAAUAUUACUUCAUUUUUAGUUUAUAAACUGAUUUCCGUUUAAAACUGUCAAGUUUUCCUGCAUGAGAUACUAAGGCAGCAGCUCACAGUCACAGCCCAACACUAGUUUGGCUUGGCCUAGAAUUGUUCAAACUUAUGUUUGGGUUUAUUUUUGGAAUUAUAGGCAGCUUGGGCCUGGCACAUAUAUCUUUCAGGUUGAGCUACUUUACAAUGCUUUGGAAAAGAUGUUUUGGGCCUGGAUGGAUUUCAACAAUCUCAACAAACUUUUCAAGUCCAGUUUGUUUUUGAAUAUUAAUUCCUUUUCAAUUUACUAACCGACUUUCAUUCUAGAAUUUCAUGAAUUUUACACGAGACCAGAAGGCUGCAGCUCACAGCCCAGCACUAGCUGAUCACAGCACUAGGUGGUUACAAGUUUUUCUACACUAGACCCAAAGGCUGCAACUAGCAGCACCCGCACUAGGCAGGUUUUUCUAUACAAGACUUGAAGACUGCACCACACAACUCAGCACUAGUCUGGAGACUCAAAGACGACUGGUCACAGGCUAACACUCUUGAGGUUUGUUCUCGAAUCUAACUUCUUUUUUAGUUUCACUAACAGUCCUCUGUUAUAAGUUUCACAUUUUUCUACAAGAUAGUUGUAGACUGUAGCUCACAGCAAAGCACUAGCCACGUAUGCUCAUGAUUCGUAAUUCCUUCUCAGUUUACUA